UAUUAUGCAAAACAACCCAUACUUUUGCUAUUUUUGCUAUUAAACUAGCUUCGAAUGAAGUAUUAAACAUUUUUGACUUUACAACAGUUGAUUGAUUGAUUGGGAUAUAACGCCGUUUUUAACAAUUUCUCAGUCAUAUCACGGUGGCCAGUUCACCUACUCAUGUGUUUCCUGGUUUUCUCACACCAGUAAUUCACACAACAAUCUCCCCAAGACGAAUGACGUUUGUUGCAAUGACUUUUUUCAAAGGUCGGAAAGAAAGUUGGCCUAGCAGGGAUUCAAACUCAAAGCCCCUAAAUUGGCAACCCGCAUUGUUACCGACUGAGCUACUGGGACUCGACGUCUUUACAACAGUAUAUUUCCAUAAAUAUUUCCUACCGUGAACUAAUGCAACCCCUCGUGAUGCUGCAAUUGUGAAUUUCGGUUAUCAUUCUGCCCACAAGGGUAGCUGUGGUCGAGUUGGUUAACAUUUGGUUGGAGCACCUCAACAAUGUCGCUGCAAACAGAGAAAGGGGCCAGGCAAAGGCUGCAGAGACACGGUCUCUGAAAAAGAAAGAGUUGAGGACAGAGACAACUCCUGGUGGUGCUGCCACAUCGACUGCGACUACCCAUAGAAGUUCCGCUAGGAGCCCAAACCAUAGCCAGGCUCAGAGUGCACCAGACAAUAUCAUGGUAGAUGUUUCGAGGUUUGGACGGAGGAGGGUACCAAAAAGAUUUGAUGAAUAUAUUAUGUAAAAACAAUAAAAAUAAAAAUAAAAAAUGAAGUUCACAAU